rnacentral:rRNA from 1 species
CUUGGUCAUUUAGAGGAAGUAAAAGUCGUAACAAGGUCUCCGUAGGUGAACCUGCGGAGGGAUCAUUACAGAGUUCGUGCCCUUACGGGUAGAUCUCCCACCCUGUGUUAUUAUACCUUUGUUGCUUUGGCGGGCCGCCCUCGGCUACCGGCCCCGGCUGGUACGCGCCCGCCAGAGGACCCCAAACUCUGAAUGUUAGUGUCGUCUGAGUACUAUACAAUAGUUACAACUUUCAACAACGGAUCUCUUGGUUCUGGCAUCGAUGAAGAACGCAGCGAAAUGCGAUAAGUAAUGUGAAUUGCAGAAUUCAGUGAAUCAUCGAAUCUUUGAACGCACAUUGCGCCCCUUGGUAUUCCAUGGGGCAUGCCUGUUCGAGCGUCAUUUGUACCUUCAAGCUCUGCUUGGUGCUGGGUGUUUUGUCUCGCCUCUGCGUGUAGACUCGCCUUAAAACAAUUGGCAGCCGGCGUAUUGAUUUCGGAGCGCAGUACAUCUCGCGCUUUGCACUCAUAACGGCGACGUCCAAAAGUACAUUUUUACACUCUUGACCUCGGAUCAGGUAGGGAUACCCGCUGAACUUAAGCAUAUCAAUAAGCGGAGG